CCUACGGGAGGCAGCAGUGGGGAAUAUUGGGCAAUGGGCGCAAGCCUGACCCAGCAACGCCGCGUGAAGGAAGAAGGCUUUCGGGUUGUACACUUCUUUUAAGGGGGAAGAGCAGAAGACGGUACCCCUUGAAUAAGCCACGGCUAACUACGUGCAAGCAGCCGCGGUAAUACGGAGGUGGCAAGCGUUGUCCGGAUUUACUGGGUGUAAAGGGCGUGCAGCCGGAGAGACAAGUCAGAUGUGAAAUCCACGGGCUCAACCCGUGAACUGCAUUUGAAACUGUUUCCCUUGAGUGUCGGAGAGGUGAUCGGAAUUCCUGGUGUAGCGGUGAAAUGUGUAGAUAUAAGGAAGAACACCAGUGGCGAAGGCGGAUUACUGGACGAUAACUGACGGUGAGGCGCGAAAGCGUGGGGAGCAAACAGGAUUAGAUACCCCUGUAGUC
rnacentral:rRNA from 1 species